AGCCAUCUCAGCGCCUCUGGAACUUUGCACACAAACUGACACUUCUCACUGACCUUCAAAGUUGAUUGCCCUUUCAUUCGUCCAUUCUUACCAUAAAAGUUCAACCAAAUUUGUGUAGCUCCUGUAAUAUUUUAGAUUGCAGCAUUUUCUUUACGUUCUUCGAGAUUGUUUUGGUCUGACAAAGCAAGACUUUAGUCCCAAAGUCAUUUUCAUUUUCCAUGGCAAGUUCCAUAUUACACUCUCUAACCUGAGGUUGUAAAAUGCCUGUAGUCAAAGUCCCUCUUUGCGCUCUGGGCGCUGGCUGUCUGCUCAGGAUUUGAGCACUCGCCGGCUGUUCAAAGGCUGGAUAGUGCUAUCCAACGGAGGAUAAGUGCAAUGGCGGAUCCAGACCUUGAGCUAAGGUGGGGGGCCCGGUUUAUUUUUGCUUGCCCUACUGGCUUUUCUUCCUUUUGUGAUUUUUUUCUUUUUUACCCAAAAUCAUGGGGGGCCGGACCCCCCGGGCUUCUCCCCUAGAUCCACCACUGAAGUUUUAACAAAACAAACCACGCCAUCCACUAGAUAGUGAUUUAUCCAGAGAAUAGUGUUAUCCAUCUUUCCAACAACUGGGGCCAGAGCUUUAAGGAUGGCUUGAUGCAAGAGACUCUAGAGACUAUGAUCAGGGACAUGGGUACGGGGGUCCUGGUGUGCCUGUGACCCCGCCUUUUGUAAGCCUUUCUUAAGCAAACUACCUACAACAGGUGGCAAAAACGACAUGCCAAUCUGGUGAGUAUCCUCACUUUGACAUAGUGUGACCCCCCUUUGAAAAAUCCUGGCUAUGCCCCACAUGAUCGUAUAGUCUCUUGCUUGAUGCUAAUGCUUUUAUUACUGCUUUGUUUCCAUCCUAUCAAGCAAGGAGGCUCCAAGUAUUGCUCUCAGUUUUAAACGAAACUAAAAUAGCCUCAGUUUUCACUUAAAUCCAUAUCUGCCACGCUUAAUUUUAUUACUAUUAUUAUUCACAGAUGGUGUGAAAUUUGACAUCAGAGAAUUAGUUCAAAAGGCGCCGGAUAUCGAUAGAAAAGCUAUUCUUGAUCAAUUAAUAUCCUGUUUGAAAAUGAUGAUAAAUGACACUUCAGUGGCAAAUGCAUCAUCAUCUGACGGACUUUCAAGAACAACACAACCAGAUACCACGCAAACAACGACCAAUCAAAGUGUAUCAGGAAAUGAAAACAAUACGCCUGCAGAAGGUACACAAGAAAAUG